CGAAAAAAUUAAACAAAAUAUACAAAAAAAUUAAAAUUAAUUAUAUAAACUGUUAUUUCUGUGUUGUGUUAGUUUACUGUGUAAUUUGCUAAAUAAAGUAAAGUUUUUAUCACACUUUCAUUUUCAGUUUCAAAUUCAUAAUUGACUUUUUCAGCUGGUCUUGGUAACGUAAUUGGAGCUAAAAAAAAACUUUUACACUGCAUCUGAAUAAAUUUGCUUUAUGGUAGCGUAUAACAUUAUGGUGACGGGCGCUAAGUCAAAGCAGAUAUAAUCUUUUUGGCAACCGUCCACGGCAAGACGGGCCAUCACAACACGAUUCCCACGACGUUGUCGACACACUUAAAUCGUCUGCCUGCAACGAGCUUUGUCAGAAUAACAGGUUUCGUUGAGAACUACGUAUUCCGCCGUGACGGGUGUAAGAAUUAAUUAACCUUUAGGUUUAGUAUAACUGAAGAAAAUAAUUCCUUUUUAACUACAUAAGAAAUAUUUGUAUUAAACGCACUAUUAUCUCACUAUUAUUAUUUUGAGAAUACUCCAACUACGAGUUUUCUAUGUUUCUGUGUUAAAUUCCAAUCUUGUCAUUGUUCCAAGUAAUCGUAAACAGGUUUUUAUUUAAUAAAAUUCUAUUUUAUACUAUAACUACAUGUAGGUGGAAUGGUAUUAACUGCUUCAGUUAGCCCUUUGCCAACUUAUUUAUCUAGUUGGAGCAAAAGUUAAGUUAUGUAA